CGGGGCGUAGCGCAGCCUGGUAGCGCACACGUCUGGGGGGCGUGUGGUCGCUGGUUCAAAUCCAGUCGCCCCGACCA
rnacentral:tRNA from 2 species